CUUUCGGGCGGGGAUUAGUGGCGAACGGGUGAGUAACACGUGGGCAAUCUGCCCUGCACUCUGGGACAAGCCCUGGAAACGGGGUCUAAUACCGGAUAUGACCGUCUGCCGCAUGGUGGAUGGUGUAAAGCUCCGGCGGUGCAGGAUGAGCCCGCGGCCUAUCAGCUUGUUGGUGAGGUAGUGGCUCACCAAGGCGACGACGGGUAGCCGGCCUGAGAGGGCGACCGGCCACACUGGGACUGAGACACGGCCCAGACUCCUACGGGAGGCAGCAGUGGGGAAUAUUGCACAAUGGGCGAAAGCCUGAUGCAGCGACGCCGCGUGAGGGAUGACGGCCUUCGGGUUGUAAACCUCUUUCAGCAGGGAAGAAGCGAAAGUGACGGUACCUGCAGAAGAAGCGCCGGCUAACUACGUGCCAGCAGCCGCGGUAAUACGUAGGGCGCAAGCGUUGUCCGGAAUUAUUGGGCGUAAAGAGCUCGUAGGCGGCUUGUCACGUCGGUUGUGAAAGCCCGGGGCUUAACCCCGGGUCUGCAGUCGAUACGGGCAGGCUAGAGUUCGGUAGGGGAGAUCGGAAUUCCUGGUGUAGCGGUGAAAUGCGCAGAUAUCAGGAGGAACACCGGUGGCGAAGGCGGAUCUCUGGGCCGAUACUGACGCUGAGGAGCGAAAGCGUGGGGAGCGAACAGGAUUAGAUACCCUGGUAGUCCACGCCGUAAACGGUGGGCACUAGGUGUGGGCAACAUUCCACGUUGUCCGUGCCGCAGCUAACGCAUUAAGUGCCCCGCCUGGGGAGUACGGCCGCAAAGGCUAAAACUCAAAGGAAUUGACGGGGGCUC
rnacentral:rRNA from 1 species